rnacentral:misc_RNA from 1 species
AGCAGCCGCGGUAAUUCCAGCUCCAAUAGCGUAUAUUAAAGUUGUUGCAGUUAAAAGCUCGUAGUUGAAUUUCGGGAUUGACACAUCGGUCGUGCCUUAAGGGGUAUGAACUGGUGUAGUCAAUUUCUCACCUUCUGGAGAACCGCGAUGCCCUUAAUUGGGUGUCGCGGGGAACCAGGACCUUUACUUUGAAAAAAUUAGAGUGUUUAAAGCAGGCAUUUUGCUUGAAUACAUUAGCAUGGAAUAAUAAAAUAGGACGGCAUGAUUCUAUUUUGUUGGUUUCUAGGAUCACCGUAAUGAUUAAUAGGGAUAGUUGGGGGCAUUAGUAUUCAAUUGUCAGAGGUGAAAUUCUUGGAUUUAUUGAAGACUAACUACUGCGAAAGCAUUUGCCAAGGAUGUUUUCAUUAAUCAAGAACGAAAGUUAGGGGAUCGAAGACGAUCAGAUACCGUCGUAGUCUUAACCAUAGACUAUGCCGACUAGGAAUCAGACGAUGUUAAUUUUUUAAUGACUCGUUUGGCA